GGAUGAGCCACUCAAUGGUGGCAUGGGCUUUAUCCAGGAACAGACCUGAAGAGGGGGCAUCUCUAGUCCAAGAACCAAAGAGCCUGUGGUUCACUUGCAGUUCCUAGGCAACAUUCCUAGAGACAUUUCCUCUGUUUCACACUGCUGUCCAGUUGGUUCCUGUAAAGACAGAGACACGCACUGGAGGAGUCGCCGGGAGAGGAGAAAUGAAGAUAUUCUAAAGGGACACUUGUAUCUUUCACUUUGGACAACAGACUGCUGAGACAAUGGACCCUAGUGAAUUGGAUUUUCAUGCUGAAGGUACAAAAGGCUGAAUUCUGUUACCAGCCAGAGGAGGAGCUUGUCUCCAGGAAGAGACUGUACCCAGUUUUGCCAGUUUGUCAGACCACUUGCACAAGGGGAGUGGAUCCCUGAUGGGCAGGACCACAGAUUAACCCAGGACUGUUUAGUUAUGCAGACCUCUUGUCCUCUAUUUAAACCUAAACCUCAUGUCAAGACCCCAGAAGAUGGACUUGGGGGCUGUCUCUGGACUCUUUGUUCCCUUGAAUAAAUCUUUCUUUGCUUUUAAUUCUAA